GAUCUGCCCUGCACUUUGGGAUAAGCCUGGGAAACUGGGUCUAAUACCGAAUACACCCUUCUGGCUGCAUGGUCUGGGAGGGGAAAGCUUUUGCGGUGUGGGAUGGGCCCGCGGCCUAUCAGCUUGUUGGUGAGGUUACGGCUCACCAAGGCGACGACGGGUAGCCGGCCUGAGAGGGUGACCGGCCACACUGGGACUGAGAUACGGCCCAGACUCCUACGGGAGGCAGCAGUGGGGAAUAUUGCACAAUGGGCGCAAGCCUGAUGCAGCGACGCCGCGUGAGGGAUGACGGCCUUCGGGUUGUAAACCUCUUUCGCCAGGGACGAAGCGCAAGUGACGGUACCUGGAGAAGAAGGACCGGCCAACUACGUGCCAGCAGCCGCGGUAAUACGUAGGGUCCGAGCGUUGUCCGGAAUUACUGGGCGUAAAGAGCUCGUAGGUGGUUUGUCGCGUUGUUCGUGAAAACUCACAGCUCAACUGUGGGCGUGCGGGCGAUACGGGCAGACUGGAGUACUGCAGGGGAGACUGGAAUUCCUGGUGUAGCGGUGGAAUGCGCAGAUAUCAGGAGGAACACCGGUGGCGAAGGCGGGUCUCUGGGCAGUAACUGACGCUGAGGAGCGAAAGCGUGGGGAGCGAACAGGAUUAGAUACCCUGGUAGUCCACGCCGUAAACGGUGGGUACUAGGUGUGGGUUUCCUUCCUUGGGAUCCGUGCCGUAGCUAACGCAUUAAGUACCCCGCCUGGGGAGUACGGCCGCAAGGCUAAAACUCAAAGAAAUUGACGGGGGCCCGCACAAGCGGCGGAGCAUGUGGAUUAAUUCGAUGCAACGCGAAGAACCUUACCUGGGUUUGACAUGCACAG
rnacentral:rRNA from 1 species